rnacentral:rRNA from 1 species
UACGAGGGGGGCAAGCGUUGUUCGGAAUUAUUGGGCGUAAAGGGCGCGUAGGCGGUGCGGUAAGUCACCUGUGAAAUCUCUGGGCUCAACUCAGAGUCUGCAGGCGAAACUGCCGUGCUGGAGUAUGGGAGAGGUGGGUGGAAUUCUCGGUGUAGAGGUGAAAUUCGUAGAUAUCGAGAGGAACACCGGCGGCGAAGGCGGCCCACUGGACAGAUACUGACGCUGAGACUCGAAAGCGUGGGGAGCAAACAGG